AAAUUAGAAUAGUGCCUGGUACAUACAAGGUAUUCAAUGUUUAUUGAAUGAAAAAAAAAUGAUUGAAUGAACACGUUCUCAGAGAGGGGAUUAUAAUUUUUUUACAUGAUUAUGUUUGAGUCAGCAUUUCAACUCAUAUCCAUGGAAGGAAUUAAAAGAUAAAUGCCUUCAUAAAAUUAACAACUUGAAUAACCAUUUAAUACAGUUUAAGCCAAUAAUAUCAUUUAUGCAUGUGUGCACUGUAAAAUAUAUGUUAAAAAUCAUUUAUGCCAGUAUUUUUAUAAAAAUACUAAUUCAAUAAAAUCCAAAUGUUUUGUAAAAACAAAUUACCUGUUUUUAGCACUAUCCUGUCUAAAAUAAAAUAGUAUAUAGUAGGUUUUUCAUUUUUUUCUAUAGGCCUUAUUUCCUUUUUCAAUGCCUCUCCCUCUCUUUCUCGUCUGUCCCUCUGUCCCUUUGGCACACAGGGCCAUAAGGCUGUUUGACCUACAAGAUUCACCUGUGGAAACAUCCCUGCUUCCUCCCUGUGGGAGAACUAAUGGUACCUGAGAUUUCUAGGAAUUCUCGUCACAGAGUCUUCCUGUUUACUCACUAUGGACCCAACCUCUCGGUGACCAUUCUGACCCACAAAUAUAAACAACUGUCAUGUCAGCAGUGUUUCCACAACCACUUUGUGAAAUUAGAGCAUUGUCUGACAAAUAAAUGAAAUGUAGAGAAAUGGAAAAACCAAAACUUUGACACGAUUCAUCCAGGUAAGAACUAAGUAUGUUUCCAAGUCAUUCCUUUUUCUUCCUGGUACCAAAGCAAAGGCCAAUAAUGCCAGAAGCCUCACAAUUCCCUUCAGUACUACCUACUGGCUUUCAUUGUCAGGGCAUGAGAAGAGAACAUUUUCCGUUUUUUUAGGCACCCCAAACUCUGGAACUAGCUUUGACCUCCUGCCAGUAUAAAUGAAUUGCUUUAAGAUAGUAGCUAUUUCACAAAAAUAAUUAAUUGGAUUUCCCAGGCCAGAUGACACUAGUGCCAGAAAAUUCAAAUAAGUG
rnacentral:lncRNA from 1 species